rnacentral:rRNA from 1 species
UGGGGAAUAUUGCACAAUGGGGGAAACCCUGAUGCAGCGACGCCGCGUGAGCGAAGAAGGUUUUCGAAUCGUAAAGCUCUGUCCUAUGGGAAGAUAAUGACGGUACCAUAGGAGGAAGCCCCGGCUAAAUACGUGCCAGCAGCCGCGGUAAUACGUAUGGAGCGAGCGUUGUCCGGAAUUAUUGGGCGUAAAGGGUGCGCAGGCGGCUUUACAAGUUGGAUGUGAAAUAUUGUGGCUCAACCACAAACGUGCAUCCAAAACUGCAAAGCUUGAGUUAAGGAGAGGUAAGUGGAAUUCCUGGUGUAGCGGUGGAAUGCGUAGAUAUCAGGAGGAAUACCGGUGGCGAAGGCGACUUACUGGACUUAAACUGACGCUCAGGCACGAAAGCGUGGGGAGCAAACAGG